rnacentral:rRNA from 1 species
UACAGAGGGUGCGAGCGUUGUCCGGAAUUAUUGGGCGUAAAGAGCUUGUAGGCGGUUUGUCGCGUCUGCCGUGAAAAUCCGGGGCUCAACCCCGGACUGCGGUGGGUACGGGCAGACUAGAGUGCGGUAGGGGAGGACUGGAAUUCCUGGUGUAGCGGUGAAAUGCGUAGAGAUCGGGAGGAAGGCCGGUGGCGAAGGCGGUCGCU